rnacentral:rRNA from 1 species
GUGGCGAGGCUAACCCGUGUGGGGCAGCCGUAGCGAAAGCGAGUCCGAUAAGGGCGUUCCAGUCGCGUGUCCUGGACCCGAAGCGGGAUGAUCUAGCCCUGGGCAGGUUGAAGCGCGGGUAAGACCGCGUGGAGGACCGAACGGACCUGGGUUGAAAACCGGGCCGAUGACCUGGGGCUAGGGGUGAAAGGCCAAUCAAAUUCCGUGAUAGCUGGUUCUCUCCGAAAUGCAUUUCGGUGCAGCGUCGCGUGAGUGCCUCCAUGGGGUAGAGCUACUGGAUGCUUGAGGGCCCGUAUCGGGUACCGACAGCAGCCAAACUCCGAAUACGUGUGAGGUGUAUCGCGGCCGUGAGUCGGCGGGGGAUAAGCUCCGUCGUCGAGAGGGAGACAGCCCAGAUCGUCGUCUAAGGUCCCUAAGCGCGUGCUAAGUGGGAAAGGAUGUGGAGUCGCAUAGACAGCCAGGAGGUUGGCUCAGAAGCAGCCAUCCUUGAAAGAGUGCGUAACAGCUCACUGGUCUAGUGGUUCCGCGCCGAUAAUGUAGCGGGGCUCAAGCACGCCACCGAAGACGCGGCAGCGCAGUUUGCUGUGCUGGGUAGGAGAGCGUUCCGCGUGGGGCGAAGCGGCGGCGUGAGCCGGCCGUGGACCGCGUGGAAGUGAGAAUGCAGACAUGAGUAGCGAGAGGCGGGUGAGAAUCCCGUCCGCUGGAUGACCAAGGGUUCCGGGGCCACGUUCGUCGUCCCCGGGUGAGUCGGGUCCUAAGGCGAGGCCGACAGGCGUAGUCGAAUGGAUGAAGGAGUCGAUAUUCUCCUACCGGCGUCAAGCCGUCCAAUCCAAGACGUGGAAGCGUGCCCUUACCUGUGUCGGGUGAUGGUCUUCGGACCGUCCGAUGGCAUGGGACCGGCGUGUGGAUGCGUGGCGGGUAGCGCGGGAGUGACACGGAACGGGAGCCGGGCCGCGGUGGUGGUUAUCCGUGGUCAAGCAUGCGGCGCGUCGGGCAGGCAAAUCCGCCCGGCAUGAGCGCGAGGUGUGAUGAUGGGGGGUCUUGUGCCCCGAAUCCGGUGUGCCGUUCCGUCGAGAAAAGCUUCGGCGUGAGGAGUGGCGCCGCCCGUACCCUAAACCGACACUGGUGGUCAGGUAGAGUAUACCAAAGCGAUCGAGCGAAUCCUGGUCAAGGAACUCGGCAAAUCAC